GACGAACGCUGGCGGCGUGCUUAACACAUGCAAGUCGAGCGGUAAGGCCCUUUCGGGGGUACGACGAGCGGCGAACGGGUGAGUAACACGUGGGUGACCUGCCCUUAGCUCUGGGAUAAGCCUGGGAAACUGGGUCUAAUACCGGAUAUGACUCCAUAACGCAUGUUGUGGGGUGGAAAGCCUUGUGCGGCUAGGGAUGGGCCCGCGGCCUAUCAGCUUGUUGGUGGGGUGAUGGCCUACCAAGGCGACGACGGGUAGCCGGCCUGAGAGGGCGACCGGCCACACUGGGACUGAGACACGGCCCAGACUCCUACGGGAGGCAGCAGUGGGGAAUCUUGCGCAAUGGGCGAAAGCCUGACGCAGCGACGCCGCGUGAGGGAUGACGGCCUCGG
rnacentral:rRNA from 1 species